ensembl:snoRNA LOC120095437 small nucleolar RNA SNORA48
UGGCAGUGGACAAGGAGACACCAUGUUGGUGGUGGUGUUCUUAUAUCAGUCACAGACAGAGCAGAUGGCAGGCCUUGCUUCAUCCUAGCUUGAUGCCUGGCUUGGUGGCCAAAGCUGUUUCAUGCCUAGGGCACAUGA